rnacentral:tRNA from 7 species
UCCGCAGUAGCUCAGUGGUAGAGCAAUCGGCUGUUAACCGAUCGGUCGUAAGUUCGAGUCUUACCUGCGGAGUCA